GACGAACGCUGGCGGCGUGCUUAACACAUGCAAGUCGAACGGAAAGGCCCUGCUUUUGUGGGGUGCUCGAGUGGCGAACGGGUGAGUAACACGUGAGUAACCUGCCCUUGACUUUGGGAUAACUUCAGGAAACUGGGGCUAAUACCGGAUAGGAGCUCCUGCUGCAUGGUGGGGGUUGGAAAGUUUCGGCGGUUGGGGAUGGACUCGCGGCUUAUCAGCUUGUUGGUGGGGUAGUGGCUUACCAAGGCUUUGACGGGUAGCCGGCCUGAGAGGGUGACCGGCCACAUAGGGACUGAGAUACGGCCCCGACUGCUGCGGGAGGAAGCAGUGGGGAAUAUUGCACUAUGGGCGGAAGCCUGAUGCAGCACCGCCGCGUGCGGGAUGACAGCCUUAGGGUUGUAAACCGAUUUCGCGUGUGACGAAGCGUGAGGGACGGUAAUGGGUAAAGAAGCACCGGCUAACUACGUG
rnacentral:rRNA from 1 species